rnacentral:rRNA from 1 species
AACGAACGCUGGCGGCAGGCUUAACACAUGCAAGACGAACGGGUGUAGCAAUACAUCAGUGGCGCACGGGUGAGUAACGCGUGGGAAUAUGCCCUUUGGUACGGAACAACCUCGGGAAACUGAGGCUAAUACCGUAUAAUAUCUGCGGAUCAAAGAUUUAUCGCCAAAGGAUUAGCCCGCGUUGGAUUAGGUAGUUGGUGAGGUAACGGCUCACCAAGCCGACGAUCCAUAGCUGGUCUGAGAGGAUGAUCAGCCACACUGGGACUGAGACACGGCCCAGACUCCUACGGGAGGCGGCAGUGAGGAAUAUUGGACAAUGGAGGAAACUCUGAUCCAGCCAUGCCGCGUGAGUGAUGAAGGCCUUCGGGUUGUAAAGCUUUUUUACCCCUGACGAUAAUGACGGUAAGGGGAGAAAAAGCCACGGCUAACUUCGUGCCAGCAGCCGCAGUAA